CGGGGUGCAGCAGGCGCGAAAACUUUACAAUGCCGGCAACGGCGAUAAGGGAACCUCGAGUGCCAGGUUACAAAUCUGGUUGUCGUGAUGCCUAAAAAGCAUUGCAUAGCAAGGGCCGGGCAAGACCGGUGCCAGCCGCCGCGGUAACACCGGCGGCUCGAGUGGUAACCGUUAUUAUUGGGUCUAAAGGGUCUGUAGCCGGCCGGGUAAGUCUCUUGGGAAAUCUGGCAGCUUAACUGUCAGGCUUUCAGGAGAUACUGCCUGGCUCGAGGCCGGGAGAGGUGAGAGGUACUUCAGGGGUAGGGGUGAAAUCUUGUAAUCCUUGAAGGACCACCAGUGGCGAAGGCGUCUCACCAGAACGGACCUGACGGCAAGGGACGAAAGCUAGGGGCACGAACCGGAUUAGAUACCCGGGUAGUCCUAGCCGUAAACGAUACUCGCUAGGUGUCGGCCACGGUGCGACCGUGGUCGGUGCCGUAGGGAAGCCGUGAAGCGAGCCACCUGGGAAGUACGGCCGCAAGGCUGAAACUUAAAGGAAUUGGCGGGGGAGCA
rnacentral:rRNA from 1 species